rnacentral:lncRNA from 1 species
AACCGAGAAAUGGAUUUGAACUCCUGAUUGGAGGAGUUGUCGCAGCGGAAGAAGAUCAAAACUCUAUAAACCAUAGGUUUCGGUGUUGGAAUGGAAGGAGAUCNAACGAACCCUAGUUUGAAGUGUUGUUCGAUGGAGAAUCUAGAUCUGGUCAUUUAGGCGACUUUAAUCGGUGAAAUAGGCCGAUUAAUNGGUGGAAAACUCAGAUUAAACGGUAGAAAUGGAAGAUCUAUGGAUGGAAAGGUUUUUGUUCGGUGAGAUCGAGGGUAAACUAAAAAUGAUGAAGAAAACCUAAGUCUGAAUGCAGAUGUUCGGUGAUACAGGCAGAGGAGAUGAAGACAAUGGUGUUUCUGUGAGAGAGACGACACUUACGAAGGAGAGUUGACGGAUCUGUGAGGAGGAAUGGAGUAGAGGCNCUGGAUCGGGAAACCCUAGCAGAGGCUUUGGUCAGAGGAAUGGAGGAAAUGACAUAACGUUUCUGAUUCGAGAGAGGCAACGAAUGAAUGAGAAGUGAUGUGCUGUUGGUGAGGUGAAAGUGGACGCAUGGAUGAGUGUAGCUGACGCCACUCGUCUGAGACUGAUUGGAGUAAUGGUGAUGGAAUGUGAUGAAAGAGAAGUCUGAUGUGGAAAAGUGAAAGAAUGGUAAGUGUGAGAUGGAAGGUGGCUAGAGGAGAUCCUUUGGGAUUCUCUAGCCUUGACUUUCAAGGUAGAAUUGCUCUGGAGUAAUUCUUAACAGUAAACAAUUCAAUUAUCUCAAAAGUGAUUACAAGAUGUGUUAGCAU